rnacentral:lncRNA from 1 species
UGAUAUUUGCAUUUCAACCAGGAGUAGUUAUAAAAUUUUGUUAUUUGUACAAAUAGCAUCUAGUGUUACUGAAACUACUGUAGUUCUAUGUAAUUAGCAGUUGUUUAUGUUUGGAUGAAUCUGCUGUAACAAUGUUGAACAAUGGAGUCAUGCUAGUUGAGAGAUUAAUUUUUCUAGGAAUUUCUUUUAUAUUUUAUUGGUUUAAUCAUCGUAUAGAUGAGAUAUUUUAGAAUGGUUAGGUUAAAAUAGUUUUAGGGUUAAAUUUGGUAUUGGCAUUUUAUUAAGGUUUUGGGUUUAGCCAUAAGUAUCUUCUUAUUUUAGUUUUAAUUAGGUUUUAGAUGAUGAAUAGUUGAGAUUUUGAGAUAUCAAUUAUUGAGAUGCUCACGCUCUUAAUGAUUCUUGUUGGGUUUUCUCCUUUCUUCUAUUUCUCCCUUUAUUUCCUCACUUCCUCUGUAAUUGUUUCUGCCUAUUUGUGAUUAUCAUAUAAACUUAUUUUCUAAUCUCUUUCACCUACUUGUUCUUUAUUGUACAAAUAGCAUGUAGUAUUGCUGAAACUACUGUAGUUCUAUGUAAUUAGCAGUUGUUUAUGUUUGGAUGAAUCUGCUGUAACAAUGUUGAACAAUGGAGUCAUGCUAGUUGAGAGAUUAAUUUUUCUAGGAAUUUCUUUUAUAUUUUAUUGGUUUAAUCAUCGUAUAGAUGAGAUAUUUUAGAAUGGUUAGGUUAAAAUAGUUUUAGGGUUAAAUUUGGUAUUGGCAUUUUAUUAAGGUUUUGGGUUUAGCCAUAAGUAUCUUCUUAUUUUAGUUUUAAUUAGGUUUUAGAUGAUGAAUAGUUGAGAUUUUGAGAUAUCAAUUAUUGAGAUGCUCACGCUCUUAAUGAUUCUUGUUGGGUUUUCUCCUUUCUUCUAUUUCUCCCUUUAUUUCCUCACUUCCUCUGUAAUUGUUUCUGCCUAUUUGUGAUUAUCAUAUAAACUUAUUUUCUAUCUCUUUCACCUACUUGUUCUUUAUUUGUACAAAUAGCAUGUAGUGUUACUGAAACGACUGCAGUUCUAUGUAAUUAGCAGUUGUUUAUGUUUGGAUGAAUCUGCUGUAACAAUGUUGAACAAUGGAGUCAUGCUAGUUGAGAGAUUAAUUUUUCUAGGAAUUUCUUUUAUAUUUUAUUGGUUUAAUCAUCGUAUAGAUGAGAUAUUUUAGAAUGGUUAGGUUAAAAUAGUUUUAGGGUUAAAUUUGGUAUUGGCAUUUUAUUAAGGUUUUGGGUUUAGCCAUAAAUAUCUUCUUAUUUUAGUUUUAAUUAGGUUUUAGAUGAUGAAUAGUUGAGAUUUUGAGAUAUCAAUUAUUGAGAUGCUCACGCUCUUAAUGAUUCUUGUUGGGUUUUCUCCUUUCUUCAAUUUCUCCCUUUAUUUCCUCACUUCCUCUGUAAUUGUUUCUGCCUAUUUGUGAUUAUCAUAUAAACUUAUUUUCUAUCUCUUUCACCUACUUGUUCUGCAUGAAGUAUGUUAUGUUCCCUUAUUUAUUGGAUCGAGAACAUCGCAAGAAUGGUCUUGGUAUUUUGCCCUAGGUUACUAAAAGUAUUAUUUUUAAGGUCUC